UGUGUACCCAUCGUUAUUCCAAGAGGGGCCAAGACUGGGAUCAUACCUUGAACGGCUGUGUCCCUUCCGACACCCCCUCGUCCGUUUAACCGGUGUUUCCUCCAAAUUCACUCUCCUGCUUUCUGGCCAAGCUCGCACUCAUCCUUUCAAUUCCCUCUUCCCUACAUCUCAAGACUUCAAAUUCUUCUCUCAAGGUUUUUUUAAAUCGAAGUGAAACAAAUAAACUACAAAAUGGGAUACUGGAAUACCGAGAUCAAGAGUCUGUUCUUGUGCUCACUCGUAGCGCUGCAUCUCCCACAACCUUUGUCGAGCUACGAGAUCGAAUGCCUCUCCGUCGACUUCGACUGCGGCGACAUCACGAACACCUUCGCCUCCGUCUGCCUGAAGAUACAACAACUACAUCAACCCAGGACCCACCUACAUUUCCAGACAGCGACGAUCUGCUGACAACUAUACCGUAUAUUCUGCGACGUCUCCAUCGCUCGUCCACCCAAGAGCUACCCACUUGUCCAUGGCUGACGAAGAACCUCUGAAGGCAUUGAAGGUGGAGGAGGAGGAGGAGAUUCACCACAUGACGCUGAGCCGGAGAGAAGCGAACAAGAUGCUGCAGUCGAAGCGUCGCUUCCGGAGGGACGGAGUGAGGAAAACUCCGAGGGAGGAGUGCUGCAGCAACGCCUCCUUCAGACGCUGCAGCUUCGAGGAAGUGGCCGAAUAUUGCAUUGAACUGCGUCCCGGCGUUAACACCUGCAGCUCCAGGUAGGAGGUAUGAAGGAUCAUCCCGUCCAUGUUAUACUUGGCUUCAGAUGUCUAAAGCCUUAUCACAGUCUUCGAGAUUGCAACAUGACUUUCACGAUGUAGAAUGACCAACUAAAGCUGCCUUUUGUCUUUCCUCACACUCAACUGAAAUAUUUUUUUGUCUUCCCUUUAUCUUCAGCUAAAUUAUUCUCUUGCCUCAGCUUUAACUUCCGCUAAAGCUUUCUUUUGUCUCACCUUUAAAUUCAACAUUCGUCUGCCUUACCCUUAGUUCAGCUAAUGGCUCCUGUUUAUCUUACAAUUAACAUCCACAAAGGUUUGUGUUGUCUUACCCUCGGCUACACCUUUCGAUUGUCCCACCUUUAUCUUCCACUGAAUCUUUCUUUUGACUUCCUGCUACUUUAGCAGAAGCUUUCUUUAGUCACACUUUUACUUUCAGUUAGGAAUUUUAUUUUUUGCCACUUUUACCUACAGCUAAAGGUUCCUUUUGUCUCACCCUUGCCUUUAGCUAAAGGUUCCUUUUGUCACCCUUACCUUCAGCUAAAGGUUCCUUUUGUCACCCUUACCUUCAGCUAAAGGUUCCUUGACCCCUUGCAUGCAGCUAAAGGUUCUUCUUGUCUCACCUUUGCCUUCAGCUAAAGGUUCGUUUUACCCUUCCAAGCGGCUAAUGGCUCCUUCUGUCUGAACCUUGCCCUCAGCUAAACUCUCGUUUACCUUUAGCUAAAGUUUUCAUUUGCUGGACCCUUCCCAAACGUUCUAGUGUUUUACCUUUACACGCAACAGCAUCUAGACAUUUCCGAACAUUAAGCAUAUUGAGUUAUUAUUGGUGAUUCUUGUCAAAGUUUCCGGAAAAUUGUUUAAUACAGCAGUUAUUCGUAAAAUAAAUGCUUUUGAGAAUACUG